GGAGCUGGGCUGACCCGGAGGGGGCUCUGGGCUGGCUCCGGCCGGCCACUGGAGGAGUUGGAGCAAGGUCUCUUGUUCUUCUGCGUGUCUCCUUUGGCCUUUAUCACACAGGCCUUGGGUCAAAGUGCACCCUGUUCCGCUGAUCCGUAUGGGCCGGGCACAGUCGUGGACACCUGCCAGCAUGCCACAGAGAGAAUGGAGGUGUGGUUCCCCACGAGUCAGGCUCCGCGGGCGGUUCCACCGGUGACCAGCAGCAGGGACCCGCUUUCUCUCCCUCGCGGUCAAAAUAGUGAUUCUGAACGUCACAGGCAUGGGAGCCACUGGGGAGCUCGUCGGGAAUGCACUUUUCUGGGGGCGCCUGGGUGGCUCAGUCAGUUCAGUGUCUGACUUCGGUUCAGGUCACAAUCUUGCCAUUCCAAGUUCGAGCCCCACAUGGGGUUCUGUGCUGACAGCUCAGAGCCUGGAGCCUGCUUCGGAUUCUGUGUGUCUCUCUCUCUCUGCCCCUCCCGUGCUCACGCUCUCUCUCUCUCUCUCUGUCUCUCAAAAAUAAAUAAGCCUCAAAAAAAUUCAGAAAUGCACAUUUCCAAGCUAUACUCCCCAGACUUUCUGAUUUGGCAGGUUUGGGGGACCUCCUAGGAAGUCCCCAGUUUUGGCAAUCAUCUCAGGAGGCCUCCGCGGGGCUAGGAAUGGAAAGUCACUCAGCUUUGCCGCUUGGCUGCAGAGAAUUCUUCUUUGCGUGAGCCACUUGUUUCACCAGGAGGCGUUGUUUCCAUGUCCAUUGCUGCCCGAGAGCCCAGGGGGGACAGACGAAGCACAAAUCUCUCAGGGCAGAGCCUCGAAGCCCACGGUUUCUACGCAGCGGGCUCACUUUGCUGGUCAUCAGAGCCUCCCAGAGCUGAAAGGGACCUUGGAUGCCCACGGUCAGACCCUCUCGUGCUACACAGAGACCGCACAAAAGGAGGUGACACCCCCAAAUCCACGCAGAGGGGACCCAUGCGCCAGUGCCAUUGCUUUCGCACCGAGGCUCAUUUUCUCUAGUGAAAGAGACACUCAGCUUGCCCAUGCCAACUCCUGUCUUCGUACCCGCGCGGUCCCUGCGUGGCCCGGCCCCGCCCCAUCCGGCAGCAAAGGUAGAUUGUCCUGAACCCGCUUAGAUUCUGGAAACUGGGCUACCGGCCCUCGUCCCUCACCACCUGGGCCUGUAAAUACACCCAGGAUGGGGAGCUCUGUGGGACUUGGCAUCCCCAUGAGGACAGAUCGUGACCUGCCACCUAGGCUUCCCAGAGAGCCCUCCUCCUGCCCUCUCGGCUGCUCCAAAUUCCUGCCCAAGCACGUCUUUACCCCUGCACGCCCUGGGAUUUGCUGGUUGUCGCAAACAGAGACGGGCUUUGGUGCCCAGGAAUGUCUGGGGAGCAGUGUUCUUCCUCGGGGCUGUUCUCAGGGUGCCGUGCACCCCAUAGCCC
rnacentral:lncRNA from 1 species